AAUGAACGCUGGCGGCAGGCCUAACACAUGCAAGUCGAGCGAGCACUUCGGUUCUAGCGGCGGAUGGGUGUGUAACGCGUGGGAAUGUUCCCUUCUCUACGGAAUAGCUCUGGGAAACUGGGAGUAAUACCGUACACGCCCUAUUGGCGGAGGAUAUAUCGGACAAGGUUCAGCACGCGUUGGAUUAGGUAGUUGUUGCGGUAAUGGCCUACUAAGCCGACCAUCCAUAACUGGAUUGAGAGGAGGAUCAGCCACACUGGGACUGAGACACGGCCCAGACUCCUACGGGGGGCAGCAGUGGGAAAGAUUAGACAAUGGGGGCAACCCAGAUCUAGCCGUGCCGCGUGAGCGAUGAAGGCGUUAGAGUUGUAGAGCUCUUUCAGCUGGGAAGAUAAUGGCGAUACCAGCAGAAGAAGCCCCGGCUAACUCCG
rnacentral:rRNA from 1 species